AUUACCCCUAUUAUUUUAGAGCAAUUCAAAUGAGGUUCAGCCCAUUUGAUACAGGAUCCAACCCCCACUAACGGGUAAUAACUUAUUUACAUCUAGAAGUAGGCCUAAGAGCAGCCAUCUUUUAAAAAGCGUCAAAGCUUAACUAUGUUAACCCCAAUUCGUAAACCCACACCGACCCCUUUAACAGUACUGAGGACCUCUAUAAUCCUAUAGAGCCUUUUAUGCUAAAACUAGUAACAAGAGAUCUCCUCUCCUAAUGCAAACAUAACCCAGCAAGAACCAAUCACUGGCAAUUAACAGAAUAAUAUAAAUGUAGCAACCUCACUAGAAAACUCUACUUUAACUAACUGUUAACCUAACACCAGAGCAUUUCAAGAAAGAUUAAAAGGGGGAGAAGGAAUUCGGCAAAGAAUCAGCCUCGCCUGUUUACCAAAAACAUCGCCUCUCGAUCCCAUGAGAGGUCCAGCCUGCCCAGUGACUCUGUUCAACGGCCGCGGUAUCCUAACCGUGCGAAGGUAGCGUAAUCAUUUGUCUUCUAAAUAAAGACCUGUAUGAAAGGCAUCACGAAGGCUAAACUGUCUCCUCCCCCUAAUCAGUGAACCUAAUCUCCCCGUGAAGAAGCGGGGAUUCUUCUAUAAGACGAGAAGACCCUAUGGAGCUUUAAACAUCAUAACACUGCCACAACUAACAACUAUCCAGAUAUUUCUCCCCAUGGCACCCUGAUUAUAAGUUUUUGGUUGGGGUGACCGCGGAGAAAAAUUUAUCCUCCACAAUGAAAGGGGCCCCCCCCUAAACAAUAAGUUACAACUUUAUGUAUCAACAAUUUGACAUCCAUUGACCCAACAAAUUGAUCAACGAACCAAGUUACCCUAGGGAUAACAGCGCAAUCCACUUCGAGAGCCCCUAUCGACAAGUGGGCUUACGACCUCGAUGUUGGAUCGGGAUAACCUAGUGGUGCAGCCGCUACUAAAGGUUCGUUUGUUCAACGAUUAAAACCCCACGUGAUCUGAGUUCAGACCGGAGCAAUCCAGGUCGGUUUCUAUCUAUAAAACAGCUCUUUUCAGUACGAAAGGACCAAAAUAGCAUGGCCAAUACUUAUAUAAGCCAUAGCAACCAAUUUUUGACCUCAGCUCAAAAAAUUAUCGCUCCCCUUCACCCCCC
rnacentral:rRNA from 1 species